rnacentral:rRNA from 1 species
ACGCUGGCGGCAUGCCUAACACAUGCAAGUCGAACGAGACCUUCGGGUCUAGUGGCGCACGGGUGCGUAACGCGUGGGAAUCUGCCCUGGGGUGCGGAAUAACUCGGAGAAAUCCGUGCUAAUACCGCAUAAUGUCUUCGGACCAAAGAUUUAUUGCCCUGGGAUGAGCCCGCGUAGGAUUAGCUAGUUGGUGAGGUAAAGGCUCACCAAGGCGACGAUCCUUAGCUGGUCUGAGAGGAUGAUCAGCCACACUGGGACUGAGACACGGCCCAGACUCCUACGGGAGGCAGCAGUGGGGAAUAUUGGACAAUGGGCGAAAGCCUGAUCCAGCAAUGCCGCGUGAGUGAUGAAGGCCUUAGGGUUGUAAAGCUCUUUUACCCGGGAUGAUAAUGACAGUACCGGGAGAAUAAGCUCCGGCUAACUCCGUG